GACGAACGCUGGCGGCGUGCUUAACACAUGCAAGUCGAGCGGUAAGGCCCUUUCGGGGGUACGACGAGCGGCGAACGGGUGAGUAACACGUGGGUGACCUGCCCUCAGCUCUGGGAUAAGCCUGGGAAACUGGGUCUAAUACCGGAUAUGACUCCAUGACGCAUGUUGGUGGGGUGGAAAGCCUUGUGCGGCUGAGGAUGGGCCCGCGGCCUAUCAGCUUGUUGGGUGGGGUGAUGGCCUACCAAGGCGACGACGGGUAGCCGGCCUGAGGGGCGACCGGCCACACUGGGACUGAGACACGGCCCAGACUCCUACGGGAGGCCAGGCAGGUGGGGGAAUCUUGGCGUCAAUGGGCGAAAGCCCUGACGCAGCGACGCCGCGUGAGGGAUGACGG
rnacentral:rRNA from 1 species